AUUGAACGCUGGCGGCAUGCCUUACACAUGCAAGUCGAACGGUAACGGGCCUUCGGGUGCCGACGAGUGGCGAACGGGUGAGUAAUACAUCGGAACGUGCCCGAUCUUGGGGGAUAACGAGGCGAAAGCUUUGCUAAUACCGCAUACGAUCUACGGAUGAAAGCAGGGGACCGCAAGGCCUUGCGCGGACGGAGCGGCCGAUGGCAGAUUAGGUAGUUGGUGGGAUAAAAGCUUACCAAGCCGACGAUCUGUAGCUGGUCUGAGAGGAUGAUCAGCCACACUGGGACUGAGACACGGCCCAGACUCCUACGGGAGGCAGCAGUGGGGAAUUUUGGACAAUGGGCGCAAGCCUGAUCCAGCCAUGCCGCGUGCAGGAUGAAGGCCUUCGGGUUGUAAACUGCUUUUGUACGGAACGAAAAGCCUUCUUUUAAUACAGGAGGGUCAUGACGGUACCGUAAGAAUAAGCACCGGCUAACUACGUG
rnacentral:rRNA from 1 species